CUUCUUCUUCUUCUUCUUCUUCUCAAGUCUCUUGUCUUCUAGUGAAUUUAGGGUUUCAACAUUUUACUAUAAAUAGAUCACUUUAGGGUUUGUCCAAAGGAUCUAGCUUUUAUCCUUUAGUUUUUCUUUGUCUUCAAAACUUAAUUACUCUUAAUCUAUUUUGUUUUUGCAUUUAGUUGUUUAAGUAAAGUUGUUUAGCUUGUUUAGAUCUACAUUUUGGUAUGAUUUCAGUAAUUUCUGGGUUUGUGUUCUUGAGAAUGUUGGUUGAGUAGUGAUUAGAGUUCUUGAGGAUGGAUUAGAUUAGGGUAAUCUCUAGGUUAGUUAGGUGGUUAGUGUUUAGGUUAGAACCCUUCUGGAUUCGCUUGGCCCCUAUGCGGUUUUCGCUGGCUAAUGUGGAGAUUCGAUCAUAGAUGUCCAGCGUCCAAAAGACGUUCAAAUGGAUGUCUGAUCUACGAAUUUCAGAGAUUUGUAGACUCGACCAAGACACGUCUUGUCUGCUUAUUGGCUUUGGUAGAUUGUUUCUUAAACCCUGCUCUGCUAUGUUUCAUCAACGAUAGUUGAGAUUAGGAAGUGGUAGAGUUAUGGGGGUCUUUGUCAAGGCAGUGGAUUGACCCGGUUUUUGAAUCUAUCGUCAAGGGUACCCACCUUUCACCUAUUAACCAUCUGAUGAACCCUAGAGUUGCCCUUAUCAAUGAAUCCAUCCUUAGGACUUCUAUUAGAUUUAUUUGUAUCCCCUGUUGAUUGCACUUUUAUUUACCUGUUAUUUGUAUCCCUUAUUUGUAUCCCUUGUUGAUUGCAUUUUGAUUCUUAAUUUUGUCACCUGUUGGUUUUACUCGACCCAAUGAUCGAGUAGGGCUCUUAAGUUCUCAUUUUUACUUGUUUGAAUCCUGACCUAGGAUUGUUACUAGAAACCCACCAUCAUUAUAAUCUGGCUUGACUUAGUUGCUUCUGUACACGUCUUGAUUGCUAGCAAUAACAGUGGACUGGAUUGACACCCCCUAUAGCUGCAUCGACAUGUUAGUGUUUGUAGGGGAAUUGAACUGAAUCACACAUUCAACAUAAGUAGGCCUACAAAACCUGAUUCUCAAUUUUGCGCUGUUGCCGAUUCAUUGUUGCAUUGUUACAUUCAAGAUAUCAAAAACUUUUAAGAUCAAGUUCUUUUACAUUUAUCAAGUUACUAACUCAUAUUUUCGUCCGUUUGUUUUUUCUGGUACAAGUUCUAAUCUUUGUGCAUGCAAACUCGAUCCAAAGGUUUUGCACACCUACUACCAUUUAGAGACAGAAUUGACAGAAUAGCUCAGUUACAAGAAACCAAAGCAAAAGCAGCCUGUGAUCAGCAAAGACCAGCUGCUAUGGAUCAACAGAACAGACAAGUUGAUGUUCAAGAACCACCUAAUGUUGAUCAACAAGAAACAUUGGUGCUGGUGAUGCCCCAAGGAAUCAUCACCAAACA
rnacentral:sRNA from 1 species